UACAGAGGUCUCAAGCGUUGUUCGGAUUCAUUGGGCGUAAAGGGUGCGUAGGCGGCGCGGUAAGUCGGGUGUGAAAUCUCGGAGCUUAACUCCGAAACUGCAUUCGAUACUGCCGUGCUUGAGGACUGGAGAGGAGACUGGAAUUUACGGUGUAGCGGUGAAAUGCGUAGAUAUCAGGAGGAACACCGGUGGCGAAGGCGGCCCUCUGGACGGUGACUGACGCUGGAGACGCGAAAGCGUGGGGAGCAAACAGG
rnacentral:rRNA from 1 species